rnacentral:rRNA from 1 species
AGACCCGAAACCCGGUGAUCUAGCCAUGGGCAGGUUGAAGGUUGGGUAACACUAACUGGAGGACCGAACCGACUAAUGUUGAAAAAUUAGCGGAUGACCUGUGGCUGGGGGUGAAAGGCCAAUCAAACCGGGAGAUAGCUGGUUCUCCCCGAAAGCUAUUUAGGUAGCGCCUCGUGAAUUCAUCUCCGGGGGUAGAGCACUGUUUCGGCUAGGGGGCCAUCCCGGCUUACCAACCCGAUGCAAACUGCGAAUACCGGAGAAUGUUAUCACGGGAGACACACGGCGGGUGCUAACGUCCGUCGUGAAGAGGGAAACAACCCAGACCGCCAGCUAAGGUCCCAAAGUCAUGGUUAAGUGGGAAACGAUGUGGGAAGGCCCAGACAGCCAGGAUGUUGGCUUAGAAGCAGCCAUCAUUUAAAGAAAGCGUAAUAGCUCACUGGUCGAGUCGGCCUGCGCGGAAGAUGUAACGGGGCUAAACCAUGCACCGAAGCUGCGGCAGCGACGCUGAUGCGUUGUUGGGUAGGGGAGCGUUCUGUAAGCCUGCGAAGGUGGCCUGUGAGGGUUGCUGGAGGUAUCAGAAGUGCGAAUGCUGACAUAAGUAACGAUAAAGCGGGUGAAAAGCCCGCUCGCCGGAAGACCAAGGGUUCCUGUCCAACGUUAAUCGGGGCAGGGUGAGUCGACCCCUAAGGCGAGGCCGAAAGGCGUAGUCGAUGGGAAACGGGUUAAUAUUCCCGUACUUGGUGUUACUGCGAAGGGGGGACGGAGAAGGCUAUGUUGGCCGGGCGACGGUUGUCCCGGUUUAAGCGUGUAGGUGUGUGUUCCAGGUAAAUCCGGUUCACUUUAACACUGAGGCGUGAUGACGAGGCACUACGGUGCUGAAGCAACAAAUGCCCUGCUUCCAGGAAAAGCCUCUAAGCAUCAGGUAACAUCAAAUCGUACCCCAAACCGACACAGGUGGUCAGGUAGAGAAUACCAAGGCGCUUGAGAGAACUCGGGUGAAGGAACUAGGCAAAAUGGUGCCGUAACUUCGGGAGAAGGCACGCUGACACGUAGGUGAAGUGAUUUACUCAUGGAGCUGAAGUCAGUCGAAGAUACCAGCUGGCUGCAACUGUUUAUUAAAAACACAGCACUGUGCAAACACGAAAGUGGACGUAUACGGUGUGACGCCUGCCCGGUGCCGGAAGGUUAAUUGAUGGGGUCAGCGCAAGCGAAGCUCCUGAUCGAAGCCCCGGUAAACGGCGGCCGUAACUAUAACGGUCCUAAGGUAGCGAAAUUCCUUGUCGGGUAAGUUCCGACCUGCACGAAUGGCGUAAUGAUGGCCAGGCUGUCUCCACCCGAGACUCAGUGAAAUUGAACUCGCUGUGAAGAUGCAGUGUACCCGCGGCAAGACGGAAAGACCCCGUGAACCUUUACUAUA